CCUACGUGAGGCAGCAGUGAGGAAUAUUGGUCAAUGGGCGCGAGCCUGAACCAGCCAAGUCGCGUGAGGGAAGACGGUCCUAUGGAUUGUAAACCUCUUUUGUCGGGGAGCAAAAGACGCCACGCGUGGCGUUCCGAGAGUACCCGAAGAAAAAGCAUCGGCUAACUCCGUGCCAGCAGCCGCGGUAAUACGGAGGAUGCGAGCGUUAUCCGGAUUUAUUGGGUGUAAAGGGUGCGUAGGCGGUUCGUUAAGUUAGGGGUGAAAUCCCGGGGCUCAACGCCGGCACUGCCUCUGAUACUGGCAGACUGGAGUGUGGGUGAGGAUGGUGGAAUGCAAGGUGUAGGGGUGAAAUGCGUAGAUAUC
rnacentral:rRNA from 1 species